rnacentral:rRNA from 1 species
UGCGCCCUACGGGGCGCAGCAGUAGGGAAUAUUGCUCAAUGGGGGAAACCCUGAAGCAGCAACGCCGCGUGGAGGAUGAAGGUUUUCGGAUUGUAAACUCCUUUUGUUAGAGAAGAUAAUGACGGUAUCUAACGAAUAAGCACCGGCUAACUCCGUGCCAGCAGCCGCGGUAAUACGGAGGGUGCAAGCGUUACUCGGAAUCACUGGGCGUAAAGAACGCGUAGGCGGGAUAGCAAGCCAG